rnacentral:rRNA from 1 species
UACGUAGGGACCAAGCGUUGUUCGGAUUUACUGGGCGUAAAGGGCGCGUAGGCGGCGCGGUAAGUCACUUGUGAAAUCUCUGAGCUUAACUCAGAACGGCCAAGUGAUACUGCAGUGCUAGAGUGUGGAAGGGGCAAUCGGAAUUCUUGGUGUAGCGGUGAAAUGCGUAGAUAUCUGGAGGAAUACCGGUGGCGAAGGCGGCAUCCUGGACCGACAUUGACGCUGAGGAGCGAAAGCUAGGGGAGCAAACGGG